CAAUAGCGUAUAUUAAAGUUGUUGCGGUUAAAAAGCUCGUAGUUGGAUUUCUGCUGAGAACGACCGGUCCGCCCUCUGGGUGUGUAUCUGGCUCUUUCUUGGCAUCUUCUUGGUGAACGUUGCUGCACUUGACUGUGUGGAGCGCUACCCAGGACUUUUACUUUGAGGAAAUUAGAGUGUUUCAAGCAGGCAUACGCCUUGAAUACAUUAGCAUGGAAUAAUAAGAUAGGACCUCGGUUCUAUUUUGUUGGUUUCUAGAGCUGAGGUAAUGAUUAAUAGGGAUAGUUGGGGGCAUUCGUAUUUAACUGUCAGAGGUGAAAUUCUUGGAUUCGUUAAAGACGGACUACUGCGAANGNAUUUGCNAAGGAUGUUUNCAUUG
rnacentral:rRNA from 1 species